rnacentral:piRNA from 1 species
CGGAAAACAUGCUCGCCCAUAUUGCCC